AGCUGAAGAGUUUCUGGCGAGUUCAAUUCCUGAUCAGAAGAUGAUCCGCUGGUUUGGAGGUUGCCCCUUUUAUAGUUGAAGAAAUCUCUCCUUUUAGGGUUUUGAAAUCCCUUUUUGGUUUGGCUUGUGAUUCCUCUUUUGAUGUUGAAUUUGAUUGCAACUGGAAUUCCUUAAGUGAGAAACUCUUUCGUGGCUCUUGGAAUUGAUUUGGUAGUGAUUGAGUUGGAUUUGGACUUCUGAAAACUUGAAAUUCGGUUUCCAGCUGUUUUCCCGCCUCUGCUGUCAAGUUCUGCUGUCAAGGUGAUUUGCCCAGUUUUCUGUGAGUGAUUUGGGCAAAUCACCGGGCAAAUCGCUCUCUGGGAUUCAGUCCAGUUUCUGUCUCUGUAGUUCUGCUGUCAAGGUGAUUUGCCCAGUUUUCUUCGAGUGAUUUGGGCAAAUCACUUUUGCUGUCAUUUUCUGCACUUUUUCUCCAACUCUUCAAUUUCUUCCUUUUCUAUAAAAACAUAACAAAAACACAAUUUAAGCUAGAAAAAUAUGUAAAUAAACAGUAAAUAAUAUAUUAAAAACAUGGCUAAAUUAUGCUUGAUCACCUGCGAAAUUCACGUUUCUGACAUCACCCUCAUCGUUUUCAUUGGUACUGCUGUUGGCCAUGAGGAACUUCUGAAAUUCUUGUUGCAAGUAAUCUGCCAUCCCUGUACUCAAAGAAUCAACACCUUUCUGCUGUGGUGUUACUGACGUCAAUGGUGAUUCCUUUGUUGCAACGCGAAGGACAUUAUUAGCUCUAUGGUAUUUGCCGAUGUCCACACCUCUCUUCUGUUGCAUCUCAAUAAACCAGUCUGGAUACCCAUGGAUAAGAAAGCAAUCAUCAAUAGUAUGUCCGGCAGUUUUACACUUGGAACAAAACUACUUCUUUCGAUCUUCCUUUCGUGAUGAGAAAGAAUUCCUGGCAUGCCCACUGCCUCGGCUACCUGAGGAUCCCCUUUGAGCAAGCAUAACCGCAGCUGUUUUAGAAGAGGCAGUACUAUCAGUUUGCACUUCUCGCUGUUUUUCAACGCUCAUUACCAUCGAAUAAGCUUUAUUUAUCAAAGGUAACGGAUCUUGAAGGAGUAUCUGAUUUUUCACGUUAUCAUAUUCAUCUCCUAACCCCAUCAAAAACUGCAUUAACCGCCGAUUAUUGUCGUAGUCUGUAAUUGCUGUCCCAACCUCACAACAAACAGGUAACGGAGCUAAGCAGAUUAAUUCAUCCCAUUUUCGCUUCAGGUUCGUGUAAUAAUUGGUAACAGAAUUGUUGCCUUGCCUGUAUCCUGUAAUAUCUCGUUCAAUUUUAUAAAUCAUCGGCCCAUUGCUUUCUCCAUAACGUUGUUCUAAUUCAUCCCAAAGGACUUUUGCAUUUUUACAGAAUACAAAAGCAUCAGAUAUGUCUUUAGAUAUGGCGUUUAACAACCAAGAAACCACCAUACUAUCUGCCGUCCACCAUUUAUCAUAAUCAUCUGAAUCUGGUGCUGGCGCUUUAAUUUUCCCGUUAAUGAAACCUAAUUUUUUCUUAGCCCGAAGAGCGACCUGAACAAAUUGACUCCAAGAGAGGUAAUUGUGUCCCUUCAAGGGGGUGUUAACAAGACUGAAUCCAGGUGCAUCAGAGUUGCUAACAUGAUACGGAUCAUCCGCAUUAUUCUUUGUAGUGAUAGCAGCGAGAAUCUUCGCUAAAUCAUCUGGAGUCAUCAUGUUGAGAAACUGAAUGCGAAUCAGUAUCUAAUAAUUUUGCAGAAGAAAAAAAACUCUAUUCUGGCUCUGAUACCAUCUUGAGGAUUUAAACAAACCAGCAAAAGUAAAAUAAGAGCAUAAUUGAAUAACAGAGCUGAAUGCCAGACUCCUCUUUUCUAUAUUAGACUACUACUGAUCUUAGAUAUUUAUCUACAAAAUAAAUAAAAAAUAGUUAUAACAGAACUAUCCUAAAGGAGUCCUACUCGCAAGGUUUGUUACAACAGAACUAUUCUAAAGGAGUCCUACUCAUAAGGAUUGUUACAAGGUUUGUUACAAGAGAUAUCCUUUACAGUCCUCUUCAGAUAAACAAUCUUUCUCCAUAUUGUUUAUUGCACAUAUUUCUUUUCUUACAAUCGUUGUUGUCGACUCACCUACAUUAGCUCAAAUUGUACCUCUAAAUUCUUUAUAACGGCUUGUUGAUUUUAGAGGUUAAUUCUAGUUUCUACCAUAAUGUUUCUGAUUUCUGCUAUGAAGUCUGCAGUGAUCUAAUAGAUUGAUGCAAUUAAUUUUUCUAGCCUUAAUUCCUUCUCUUCUUGAUGAUGAAAUGGUUGGUUUGAUUAUAUUGGAUGGUAAAUAGAUGGAGGAUAUUGAUGACUCUAACACUAUAGUGAAGGAUUCUUGAUGCUAAUGGUAGUCAAAAUCUACUUCUAUGUAUAAACAAACCGAAUCGAGUCGAGCCGAGCUUUGAAGAGCUCAAGUUUAUUCAUUAAAAUUUUUUUGAGCUCGAACUAAACUCGAACUUUACUCAUUUCGAAUUCGAGCCGAGUAUUAAUAAGUUUAAGUUUGGCUCGUUUAACAAACAAGCUUAGACGAGUCAGUUUAGUCUCGAAGAGUUCACAAACCAUUUAAUUUAUUUAUAUAUAUAAUGAGUUUUAAUUUAAAACUAAAAAAUGUUAGUUAAACAAUUAUAUAUACAAAUAAGCUCGUAAACUUAUAAAGAACAAGCUCUUAAAUUUUAACGAUCUUAAUAUCUAUAAGUUUAAAAGUGUAAUUAAAUUAUGUAGAGCUGAAUUUUGGAAAAUUUAAGUUUGGCUCAUAAAAGUAUAUGUAGAAUUUGAAUUUAUUUCUCUUAUAAUAUUAAUUUCAGCAUAUUUAAUAAGACUGUUCGCGAGCCUACUCAUGAAAUUGGAAAUAAGCUAGAGCUUAUAAACCUUAAUGAACCGAACAUUAUGGAGUUCAAGUUUGGCUCGUUUACUAAAUAAGCCCAAAAAUUAAAGUCGAUCUUGGCUUAUUUAAAAAUUGAGUCGAGCUUGAUCGAGUUUUUAUCGAGUCGAACCUCGAGUAGCUCGUAAAUAGUUUGGUUCAUUUAUAUCACUAUCCACCAGCGGCCGAAACCCCAUCAUCAUUAAUCAACAUAAAGUAAAAUGUAAGAGAUUCAUGGGGAAGAUCAUCAUUAAAAAAUUAUACAACCAAUUCAUUGAAUCUAUCCCAAGUAGCAUAAAAUAGUUCCAAGUAUUAUUGAAUAAAAUUCAUGAAAGACACAUUAAUGAGACAUAAAUAUCUCAUAAUAAGAUAAGCAUUUAGAUAUCCACAAGUGUAUGAAAUCGUCUCAAGUAAUAAUGAAGGAGUAUCAUAUCAUAUCCAUAUGUACUGAAAAUUAAGUAUCAAAAUAUUCAUAAAUCUGAUUAUUAUCUAAACUACCGAUAAGAAAGAUUGAAAUAAAAUAAAAUAAUAAAAUCAAUUAUUUUAACAAAGUAGAAUUUAUGAAACAAUUAAUAUUAAGUACUAAGUUAUAUUGAUUUCACUUGGACAUGACCCAUUUAAUUCAUUUGGUUACAAAUCUAAUUUUAAUUACCAAAUCUAGAAUAUCUUCUAAAAUUAAAUUAAUUAAUUAAAUAUUAUUAUCUAUCUCUCAAUAAUCUAAUAAGUGAUUAUUUUGUCAAAAGACUUCAUGGAUCAAAUCUUCAUUCUCAAUUUAAUUAAUAUUCUUGUGAUAUUCAAUUUCGAUCCUAAAACAUUCCCUCGCAGUAUUAAUCUCAAGAUAAAAUCAUUCAAGCAUCUCAUAAAUACUCAAAAACAUUAAUUUCAAGAAUUGAAUUGGUAAAGAAAAUCAACUCAAAUAAAUUAAAGAGAAUCAAUCAUCCAAGUUACAUCAAGUCCCCUGCCAAAAGAAUUUAGUUGCUUAUGUUCAAAAAUUCAAGAAUAAAUUCUAUUGAGAAAUUAUCUAAAUUCAUUCUAAACAAAUUGUGAACAAACAAAUCAAAAUAAUAAGAGAAAAAAGAAAACUCUAAAUGUAUUGAUAUUUUCUCCUAGAUUUUCUAAAUCUUUAUCAUCUAGUUUCUCGCGAUUUCCGCAAUAUAUCGUAUUUAAAAGUGGGCAAAAGUUCUUUGGUCUCUCAAUACCUUUUAAGACUCAUAAUCCGUAGUUAUAAGGAAAACUUAGAGUAUUAGGACUUCUGUUAAAAAUAUGGGGCGGUGCACGUGGAAAAGAGCAAACACAUGAUAAACUAUAAAAAUACGGAUCUACCCGUGUGUUGUACCGUGUGAUUCGGCUCCAGAUUUUUAUCCAGAGAGAAACACUUGGUAAAAUGUCAAAACAUGAGGCUACCCCAUAAUUUUGUUUGUUUCUUCAUAAUCUCCUCAAAUUUUCUUAGAUUUCUCAUCAAAGUGUCAGCCUCAUUCUUUGACUUUGUUUUGAUAUGUAAAAACACUACAAAUUAAAUGAAAAUAUCAAACUAAUGAAAAUUUAUGAAAAUAGGUAAAUGUUGUUCCAAAAUUAUAUGUUUAAAUAUGUAAAAUUUCACCAUAUCAACCACAAAUUUAAAAAUAUGAGAUCUAGUUCUAACAAUUAAUAUUUCAUUAAUCUUAAACUAGUUGACAGACAUUUAAUAACUAGCUCUAAUUUUUAGAUAAUAAAUUUAAAAAUUUUUAAUAGUGUACUUAUUUUUUAAUAUAGAAAUUAAUUUUUAAUAUAGAAAGAAGAAAAAAAAAAUUGCACUCUAUUAAUGAUGAUCAUAAUUUAAAGUUUAUUUAAUUUUAAAACAAAUUAUUUUAAUUCAAAUUCAUUACUAUCCUCGGUGAAGUUAUAAUUUUAUUUUAAAUAAAACUCUACUUAAAUUAAUUAUUAUUUAAAAUAAAUUUCAAAGUUUAUUUAAAUUUAUUUAGGUUUUUGAGUAUAAAUAGAAAAAAAAUUAUAUAAUCAAUUCUAAUAAUAAUUAAUACUCAUUAUAUAUAUAUAUAUAUAUAUAUAUAUAUAACUCAUAAUUCUAGAUGGGUAAGAAAUAUAAAAGUUUAGAUUUAGUAUUAGGGUUUCUUCUGGAUAUUGUAAAAAUAUACAUGUUUGAAAAACUAAAACAAAGGCAUUUGCCGAUGAGAAAUUAGUUGUAUUCGGUUCAAAUUAAAAAAAAUUGAUCAAAUUGAAUUAAUUUAAAAAUUCGGUUUGAUUUUUUAUUUAUUUCGAUUCGAUUUUUAAUUUUAAAAAUUUUGAUUAUUUCAGUUCGGUUUGAUUUUAAUAAAAAAAAUUGAAAAAAUCGAAUCGAAUCGAUUAGUGAUAAUAAUAUAUAGAGAUUAGAUCAUAUUAAGGUUAAAAUAUUCUCAUUAAAGUUUAAAAUACUAAAAAUAAAGUAUAAAAAAUAAAAAAAUUAUUAAAAAUUCAAAACGAUUAAACUGAAUCGAAUUGAAUUGAAUUGAAUCAGACCAAUUCAGUUGGAUUCGAUUUUGAUCAAAAUCAAUUUGGUUUGAUUUUUAUAAAUACUAAAAUUUAAUUUUUCAAUUUAUUCAGUUUGAUUUAAUUUAAACCUGAAAUUUUAAAUUUAUUCAGCUCGAUUUAAUUUAAACUGAACCAACCAAAUACUCACCCUACUAUUUACUCUCUCCGAAGAAACAAAUACAAAAAAAAAAUAUUAAUCACCACUAGGGGUGAGCAUUCGGUCGGUUCGGUUCAAAAUCAAAUCGAACUAAAUAAACCAAAAAUUGAAAUUUUAGUGUUUAUGAAAACCGAACCGAUUUGGGUCAGAAACCGAAUCGAACCGGUCUGAUUCGGUUCGAUUCGUUUCGGUUUGAUCGGUUUCGAUUUUUAAUAAUUUUUUUAUUUUUUACCCUUUAUUUUUAGUAUCUUAAAUUUAAUUAAAAUAUUUUAAUCUUAAUAUAAUUUAAUUUUUCUAUAUUAUUAAAAAAACAUAUUAUUAUCACUAAUCGGUUCGGUUUGAUUUUUUCGAUUUUAUUUUUGUCAAAACCGAACUGAACUAAAAUAACCAAAAUUUUUGAAAUUAAAAAUUGAACCGAACUGAAAUAUAUAAAAAAUAAAACCAAAUUUUUAAUUUAAUUCGAUUCGAUCGAUUUUUUCGAUUUGAACCGAAUACUGCAGACCCUUAAUCAUCACUAAUCAUCUCCACAUAUUUUUAUGUAAUUAGUUUACUAUACAUAACUCACAAUCCAAUUAUAAUAAAAAGUAUUUAAUAUAAAACUGUCAUAAAAAUAUUAUAAACCGUUUAAAUUAAUUUAAAUAAUUUUUAAUUUUCUCUUCAUUAAAUCUAAAAUAAUUAAUUUAAAUUACUUAAUAGUUUUUAAUCCGCUAUUAUAUAUAAUUCAAAUUUAAUAAAUUUUCAAGGUGGGAUGUGAUAAAAAAAAUAUUUAAUAUAAAAUUGGUGAAUAUCUUGAUAUAAAUUGGCAUUAAGGAAUUUAAUAGUUAAGGAUUCAAUAUUAAUUCCAUUUCAAAAAAAAAUUCAAUAUUAAUUAAAAUUAAAUAAUUAAUUAAUAAAUUUUUUUAUAUAAUAAAAAUUAAAUAUCAAUUUACAUACAAAUUCUACGCAAAUCAUUUUCUUUAUCUUUUAAUAUAAUUGGAGUGCUUCUAUUUUUUAUAAAUUAUAUUCAAUUACACUGCAAUUUUAUUUGAGCCACAUCAUCGAUUUAUUAUUUAUGACAUCAAAUAAUAUAUUUUAUUAUAUGAUAUUAAAUAAUAAUUAAACUACAUUUUAUAAAAUCUAUAUUUAUUAUGGAGUUUUUAUUGAUAAAAAUUUUAUAAUUUAAUAUCUUGUUUUUAAUUAAUUAUCGCUGCUCCUUUCAAAUAAAUUUUUGUGGCUUUACCCAUGAGUCAACGAAUAAAAGAUUAAAUUUAUUUUUGAUGAGAUAAAAAUAAAUAAAUAGCUUUUUUAUUAAAUUUAUUAUUAAUUAUCAUUAAAAAUUAAAAAAAUUUAAAUAAAAUCAAAUAAACUAAUGAAAAAUAUUUUGAUUUUUUUUUUGUCAUUAUAAUGUGAUCAAUAUUUUGAUUUUUUUUUAAAGGCUUAUGCCAGAUAAAAUGCUAAAGCCUUUAGUUUGAUUAUAAUUAUAGCUAUAAUUCUUAAUUUGAGAUGGUAAAAUCUUAACUUUUUAAAUUUAUUAUAAUUAUAAUUAAUUUUUAAAUUAAUUUAUUCAAUUAAAUAUAUAAGUGUAAGAUUUCAAUUAUAGUCAAAUAUUAAAAUUAAAUAUUUUUUUUUAAUUAUAGUUAAUCCUUAAAAUAAUUUUGAUCAACAUUAAUUUAAUCAAAGAAUCAUACAAUGUAUCACUUAUAUACUAUUUUUAAAAAUACUUUACUCUUAUUUUUAUUUUUCUAAUUCCUAAUUUAAAUUCUAAAAUUUCUAAUUAAUUAAAACUAACUAGACUGAAAUUCAUUCAAAAUAGAUAUUUUAAAUUUAAAUUAAGAAUUAAAAUAAUAAGGAUAACUAUAGUAUGACACAAGGUAAUUUAAAUUUUAUCAAAAUUAUUUUAAGAGUGGGUUACAAUUGUAAAUAAAUUAAAAAAAUUAAAUAUAAUAUUAAAAAUUUUGACUAUAAUCUAAUUAAAUGUAAAAUUUUAAAAAUUUAUAUCAAAUUAGACAAAUUAUUGUAGUAAUUAAUUAUAAUUAUAAUAAAUUUUAAAGUUGAGAUUUUACUAUUUAAAAUUAAAAUUUUAUCUACAUUCGUGGUUAAAUAUAAAAAUUUCACUUUCUACAUCCAAUAAAUCUUUUUUAGAUUAUUAAAUUAAAUCUUUUUUAAAUUAUUAAAUUUUGAAUUAGAAUCUUAAUUAAGACUUAAGCUUCUAUUCAAAAUACUAAUUGUUUGGUGAUGGAUAACUAUUUUAAUAAAAAUUAAUUAGUUUUUUAAAAAAUAAAUAACUUUUUAUAAUAUUCCCCUUUAAUCUUUAAAUACUAAUAUUUUAACAUACUCAAAAUCAAUAAAUAUUAUCUUAAAAGAUAAACUUGAAUUGAGUCAAAAGUUUAUAUAAAUUAUAAUAAAUUUUAAUUUUUCCUGUGAUUGAUUAAAUUUUUUUUAUUAAUCCCUAAUAAUCUAUAACAAUAUUUAUUAUAAAUUAAAAUUGAAACAUCAAAAUCAAUUGAACACAAAAAUUUAAUUAAAAAUUAUUUUCAAUUUUUUCAAAAAUUAAAAUUGAUUGGUAGCUAUUUUUAAAAUUAAAUAAAAUUUAAUCUAAUAAUUGUCUAUUACAUAGUCUCAAAUUAAUUUUCUUCCAAUCUGAAUUUGAAAACUAAUAUAUGUAUACACACACAAAACCAGUAAUCUCAUUCUUAUGUGCAUAAGUAUAUUAUAGAUUUUUUUAUAAUUUUUAAUUAGUAAAAAAUUCUAAUACUUAAAUAUUUGAGUCAGUAAAAGAUUUAAAGAUAUAUUUAGUAAAAAUAAAAACAAAUACAUUACGAAAUUAGAUCUAUAUAUUUGAAAGUUGCUCGUAUAUAUAACGUAUCGGAAAUUUUAUCGUAAUAAGAUUUAGUGUAUGUUAUUAAAUUUUAAUGAAUAAUAAUUUAUUCGUGAACUCUUAUUUAAAAUUAUAGUCUGAAAUGGGCUAUGGAAUAGCGCUAUUGGUCUCAAAUUCAAGUUUAAUCUUUUUAAUGGGUCUUGAAUCAGUAUCAAAGACUUUUAGGGCUAAUGAGUAGGGGUGAGCAAUCACAAAAUCAAACCAAAAGCUGAAAAUUUAAUAUUUAUAAAAAUCGAACUGAAUCAAUUUUGAUAAAAAAUUGAAUUGAAUUGAAUCAUUUUAAUUUGAUUUGAUUUGAUUUAAUUUGAUCGAUUUGAAUUUUUAAUAAUUUAUAUUUUUUACACUUUACUUUACUUUAGUAUUUCAAAAUUUAAUUGGAAUAUUAUAACUUUAACAUAAUCUAAUCUUUCUGUAUUAUUGAAAAUAAUACAUUAUUAUCACUAAUCGAUUCGGUUGGAUUCUUUCAAUUUUUUAUGAUCAAAAUUAAAUUGAAUCGAAAUAACUGAAAUUUUUGAAAUUAAAAAUCAAAGCAAACCGAAUCAAAAUGAAUAAAAAACCAAACUGAAUUUUUAAAUUAAUACGAUUUAAUUGAUUUUUUCGAUUUUAACUGAAUAUUGCUCACUCGUACUAAUGAUACUAAUGAUACUGAUAUAAAACUCAUUAAUGAGAAUAAAUCUAAAUAUGGGAGCUCGAUAGAAAGCGGAUCUCGUAGUCAUCUAUUUUUUCACUAAAUACACUUUAAAACCUUUAUUGAUUUAAAUAUCGAAAAUUUUGAACCCCAAACUAUUUGAUGUUCUUGUGUUUUGCAAAUAAGUGGCUAAUGAUGAAUACCCCAGCAUUCAUAUUUAUUGUUAUAAUUUUAAUUUUAUAUUUAUUUCAACAUUAAUAAUCAUAUUAAUUAAUUAAUGUAUGCAAAUAUAUAAAAUUAUUAAUAUACAUAUUUAUUACGAUUAAAAUUUAUAUUUUAUUAAUAAAUUAUGUUAAUAAUAAUUUUUAUGAGUUAAAAUAAGCAACUUAAUUGUAAAAGCUUAAACUGAUACCGAAAUACAAGAUGAUUACAACAUAAUCAAAAUAUUUAAUUAGAAUAAAAAAAUAUAGAUAAAUUUUUAUUUUUUAGUCACUUAAUUUUUUUAAAAGAUGCAAUAAAAACUUUAACUGAAUAUAUUAAAACAGAUUUAGAUAAUAUACUAUUGAAUUUGGGUGAGUUCAAAUAUUGAUAAUAUAUUAGAAUUCGGUCUGAUAUUAUUUGAUUUCAAUAAAUAGUUAAUAAAAAAUUAGAAGAAAUUUACUGAUUAAUUUUUUAAUUUUUAAAAAUAUAUUAAAAUAUCUUCAACAUUUUAAAAAAUCUACUAAUUAGUUUAUUCGUUAAUUUUAGCUAUUAAAUAUUAUAAAAAAGAUUAAAAUAUCUUUGAUAUAGAGAAAUUAAUUAAUAGAAUUUUUAAAAAUUUGAAAAAUUAACUAAUAAAUUUUUUAAAAUUAUAAGAAUUAAAUAGUAAAAUACUUAACGAUCAACAUUAAUGGAUAAACUAAAUAGUAAAUUUUUUAAAAUAUCUGAAAUGUUUUAAUAUAUUUUUCAAAUUGAAUAACUAAUUAAUGUGUUUUUUUAUAUUAUAAAGACUAAGUAAAUAAUUUUUUAUAUUUAAUUAAGUAUAACAAUAUAUUUUUAUGAAAUAUUUAUAAAUUUUUUAUAUAUUUUAAUUUAAAAAUAAUAUGACUAUUAAAAUUUUUAAAAUAAAAAUAAUUUUUGUAUAAAUUUUUAAUUAAAAUUAAAAAAUUAAAAAAUACUUAAAUAAUAAUAAUAAUAAUUUAAUUUAAUUCAAAUUCAAUUUUAAUUGAGUUUGAAAUGUAAUUGAGCAGAUUCGGAUUUGAAUGAAAUGAAUUUCGUAGGUACCCAAAUCAUUGUCCUUCCUAAUUCGGAUUAAAAUAACAUGAUUAAAAAAGUGAAAUUUAAUAAAUUUUAUAAAUCUUAAAAACAUUCGAAUUAAAAAAAUAAUAUAAAAUAUUAAAAUGUUUAAAUUAAAGAUUAUUAAUAAAAAAUAAAAUUUUAUGUAGAUUGUUAAUUAAAAAUUAAAAAAGUUGGGGUAUUAUUCAAAUAGUAACUUUAUAUGGGAUUUAAAUCAAUUUUAAUCAAAUUUAUGAUGUAUUUAAUUAUUAAAAAUAAAUCUAUUAGUUCAAAAAAUAUUUUAACUUUACGAGUUUACGUUUAUGACAUAAACUUUUAAUUUUAAAUGGAAGUGCUUCAAAUUUUAAAUUUAUUAUAAUUAUAAUAAUUUUUUAAAUUAAUUUUAACCAUAUUUAAAUUAGUUUAUAUCACGUGUAAGUAUUUUUAUUAUAUAAAUAAUUUAAAUUAAAUUUUAAAAUUUUAAUUAUUUAAAAUUUUCAAUUAAUUUUUUUUUUAAAUAUCAGUACUGCAAUUAUAUAAUUUAAAAAUAUCAUAUAAUUAAUAAUUUAAGAUCUUAAUUAAAAUUUAAUUUCAAUUAAUCAAUCGCUUAUAUAAUAAAAAUAAUAAUAAUAUAUAGUAUAUUGUGUAUGAUAAAAAUAAUAAUAAUAUAUAGUAUAUUAUGUAUUUUAAUUUUAAUAUGAUUAAAAUUAAUAAAAUGACUAUAAUUAUAAUAAAUUUAAAAGUUAAAAUUUUUUAAUUUAAAAUUUAAAUUUAAAUUAUAAAUAUGAAAAAUUAUUAUUUUUUCAGAUAAUAGGCCUUAAAAAUAAUAAAUAGAUUCAGAUUUUUUUUGCCCAGUCAUGUGGGAUGAAGUUCAUAGUCGUUCCUAAUAUGGGGGAUAUUAAUGGCAUCCAUGAACUGUAUUUUCCUAAUAUGGCGGACAUUAAAGGUUUAUACAUUUAAUUGCAUUUUUUUCCAUCAAUAUGUUGUGGUGAAACGUGGACAGUAGAAACACAUCUCAACUUCUCAACCAAACAUUUCCAAAUUGAUUUAUUACAUCCCUAUCCAUAUUACCACAAUCAUGCAACUCCAUAUACCCUAUUUAAUUAUUUAUUUUUCAUAUUAAAUAUAUACAAUAAAAUAUAAUAAUUAAACAGAGAAAGAAAAUGUAUGAAGAAUGCAUUUUUAUAUAAACAUAAUUAAUAAUAUCUAUGAUAUUUCACUUAAUUCUAAUCAUAUACUUAAAUUUAAUGGCUAAACCUAUCGAGAACUACAAAUUGCUUAAAUUAAAACUAUCGUAUGUUUGGUAACAUUUUAGUUAUUCGGUUUUUAAGGAGCUCGCUUUUAUAUCCAUAAGUCAUACAUUAUUUGAUAGAGUGAAAAGCAAUAAAAAAAAAAAAGAGUCGAGACACGAAAGUGAUAAUAUUAUUUUGCAAGAACUUUCUCAAAGAACACAGAAAGGUUUUAGGAAUAAUUUUCCGUCUAGCUCAAACUAGUUAAAACAACAAAGCUUUACAGAUAAAAAGAAAAGAUAAGAAAAACCUACUUUUACUAUGGUUGAUACAUUUUUUUUAUGAAUACCCUAAUCCUGAUCCGUAAUCAUUUCUUAGUGAUUGAUUCUAAGAAUUCCGCUAACCGUGUAAUCUCCAUUUUUGUCUCAUUUCCCAGUUGUCCUAAUUCUUCUGUCUUCUCAGGUCUCGGCCCAAGCUUGCUAGUCCAUUGCUAACAUUGCCUCCUUCCCAAUUAAGAGUAUUGUCCACAAUGCUAAAAUAAGGAAAUUGGUUGAUGAAAUCUAUGUAAUCCAUCCAUGUAGCCUCAUCCUCUGGUUUUCCUUCCCACCUAAUUAAUAGUUUGCUGCCUGAAGGGUGGUUCAGAGUCAUCACUCUUUCUAGGAUUUGCUUAGGCUCAAAUCAUUUUUCUUUUACUUCCAGCCCUUUAAGUAAUGUCGAAGUAAUCAAAUGCUGCCCUACGACCUUUUUCAGUUGUGAUAAAUGGAAUACAGGGCGAAUUCUUGCUUCUUCUAGUAAUUUAAGACGAUAAGCAACCUUUCCUACCUUCUGAAUGAGCUGGAAUGGUCCGUAAUAGUGGGCUGCCAACUUGGCAUGAAUUGUAGGCUUAAGAAAAGCUUGCCUAUGAGGUUGUAUUUUGAGAAACACCGAGUCCUCCACAUGAAACUCGACAUCCCUCCGAUGUUUAUUGGUUGCUUUAGUCAUUCUUUAUUGGGAUAUCUUUAAAUUAUAGGAUAGUUGUCUCAACAAUUCAUCUCGAGUGAUCAACUCCUGAACUACUACUUCUGUCUUUGUUUCUCUGGGUAAAAAUUGGUGCAAUGUUGGAGGGGGUCUACCAUACACUGCCUCGAAAGGAGUUAUUCCCGCAGUUGCGUGGUGGCCUAAAUUAUACUAAAACUGUGUCCAGUAGAUCCACUUUUGCCAUUGUCGAGGCUGUUCUGAUGCGAAGCAUCUUAAAUAAGUUUCAAGCCCUCUGUUUAAGACUUUUGUCUGACCGUCGAUUUUCGGAUGAUAUGUUGAACUCAUCUUUAACUGUAUUCCCUGAAGUCGAAAUAACUCUGACCAAAAAGAGCUUAUGAAAAUUGGAUCUUUGUAGCUGACAAUUGUAUGAGGCAUCCCAUGUAAUUUUACGAUCUCCUUAACGAAUACUUCAACUACUGAUUUAGCUGAAUAGGGGUGUCACAGGCAGCAAAAAUGGGCGUAUUUAGUGAAGCGAUCAACAACUACCAAAAUAGCAUCCAUACCAUUUGAACAAGGUAGCCCUAUGAUGAAAUCCAGAGAUAUGUCCUCCCACACCCUUGUAGGAAUCGGUAGGGGAUGCAAUAAGCCUACUAGCGAGGCUGCCUCAUACUUGUGUUUUUGGCAAAUCAAGCAUUCUACCACAAAAGCUUUUAAUUUUUUUCAUCAUUCUUAGCCAAAAUAGGUUGGCAGCUGAUCAAGCAUAAUUUAGCCACAUUUUUACUAUUUUUAUUACUAUUUAAUUAUAUAUUUUUCUAGUUUAAUUAGUGUUUUUAUAAUGUUUUUACAGAAAAGGAGAAAAUUGAAAACUUGGAGAAAAAUUGCAGAAAAAGCUGAAAAAUUGAUUGGGUCAAAGUGAUUUGACCAAAUUACUCGUAGAAAGCUGAAGCAGAAAUCUGGGACUGACUUGUAGAAAUGAUCUGGGCAAGCGAUUUGGGCAAAUCAACUGCCCAAAUCAAACUGACGCAGACAAGGACAGCAGCGCGGGAAAAAGGAAAAAUCAGAAUUUCAAAAGUGUUGGAGUCCUAUCCUACUUCAAACACUACAAGACCAAUCCUAUGACAUCUCCAAGAGUCACUCCCAAGAAAGACUUUCUCCAAGAAGAAGAUUUAUUAAUGAUUAAAUACAAAAGCAAAGAAGGAAUAAAAGACUACAAAAGACCAAGUCAAAUUAGGAUUCCAAAUCCUAAUUGGACUAGAACUCUUCACCUAUAAAAGGAGACAGCCACAAACUAUCAAGGGAGAGUCGAAUUUCCUGCAGAACCUCAGCAGCAACACAUCAGCCUCCUUUCUACCUUUCUUCUUUCUCUUUUUUUGUAUUUUUGUCCACCAUGAGUGGCUAAACACCUCCUUUUCUAGUUGAAGUUGGGAAAUUUCAGUUUUGUGAUGAAUUGGAAGAUUUAAAACUCCAUUGUUAAGCUUCUAUUUUUCAAUAUUUAUGCAACUUGUUCUUUAUGCUAUUAUUGCUUUGCUAUUAGAAUCAAGUAAGGCCUGUUGCUUUUAAUUGCAUAAGUGAUAAAUUGUUAGUUUAAAUAAUUUAGGUCUGUAAUUGCUUAGAUCAUUUGAAUACAAGCACACUUAGUUGCAUAAUCUAAACUUAACCACGCGGUUGGCAAGGUUGGAAUUAGGUUUCUCUAAGUCUUAAUGCAGUUAAUAGUUGAAAAGUAAAAAACUCCAAGGACGUUCAUUAGCAACUUGUUAACUAGUGUUUGGUUAGCGAACGUUUCCUAGUCAAACUAAAAUUAAGGAGGAAUUUGGUUGUGCGAAGCGUCUUCCACAACCUAAACUAAUUUAUUGAAAUAAAUUGGAGUAUCAAAAAAUCAAUGAUCAAUUCUAAACAAACUGAAAUAGAUCCAUACUUCAACUAGAGUCAUUCUCCCAUUAAUUUACUCAUCUUUUUAAAUUAUUACUUUCUUUUACUCAGUUUUAAUUCUAGUCUACUAUCAUCUCAAACAAACCCCCCUCUUUUUAUUUUUGUUAUUUAUUUGUCCAAGUCAUUAUUAAGAAGAUCCGUAGUGUCAAAUCCCUGUGGGUCGACCCUAUUACCACUAUCUACAAAUUAUUUUGUUGAUUGAUAAUAGGUUUAUUUUUUACGGUUUCGACAACCGCUAUCAACAGCAAUCCUUUUAUAUGUUCUAAAGGCUUUCGAAUGGCCACCUGUUGGAGAAGCGUGGAACUCAACUAAUAAUUUUGAAAUGUAUGAAGAAUUGCCAGUAAUUACUAACCUCCCCUUGUAAAACAAUAUGUUCUGUGUUAGUGAAUAAGUUCCAUGAGAAUUCGGUUGCUUCUUCAAGUCUUGUAUGAUCUGUUGAAGGUGAUGAUCAACUUCUAUUUCUUUUUCAAUCAAACCUCAAUCAACCCAUUGAGAAUAACUCAAAACCUAUAACUUACACUCUUCAUCCUUCCUUGAUAAUGCAUCAACUGCCGAAUUUGUCUUGUCCACCUUGUACAAAAUUUUGAAAUCAUACCCAAGCAACUUAGCUCUCUAAGCUUGUUGAGCAGGGGUGUAGGUCUGUUGAUCCAACAAAUGAUGCAAACUACUAUGAUCUGUGUGUACAACAAAUUUACGACCCAGAAGAUAUGGCCGCCAAUGUCAAAUAGCUAACACCAAAGCCAUCGUUUCCUUCUCAUAUGUGGACUUGUUGAUAUUUUUAGGGGAGAAGGCUUUACUAAAGUAUGCUAUUGGCCGGUGAUCCUGCAUCAAGACUGCUCCCACACCUGUUCCAGAUGCAUCACAUUGAAUAAUAAAUAUUUUAGAAAAAUUUGGAGUUGCUAAGACCGGUGAUGAAACCAGAGCUUUCUUAAGAUUGUCAAAUGCCUGUUGAGCUGAAUAUGACCAUUAAAAAGGCAUUUGAUAUUCUGUUUUAAGUAGUUGAGUCAAUGGUUGGGCAAUAGAACCAUAUCCCUUAAUAAAAUGUCGCUAAUAACUCGUCAACCCAAGAAAUCCCCUUACUGCUUUAAGAUUCGUCGAAAUUGGCCAUUUCAGCACACUGGAGACCUUGUUAGGAUGCAUAACCACCCCCUGAUAUGAAAUCACAUGGCCAAGAUACUCAAUUACGAUCUUGCCAAUUGAACUAUUCUUUUGGUUUACCCGAAACUUCUCUUUCAAUAACAACUGCAGGGUUAUUCGAAGAUGUUCUAAAUGAUCAACCCAAGUUUUGCUGAAAAUUAAGAUAUCAUCGAAGAAUACCAAAAUGAAUUUCCAUAGAUAAGGUCAAAAGAGGUCAUUCAUCGUCGCUUGAAAUGUGGCUGGAGUGUUGGUAAGGCCAAACGGCAUGACUACAAAUUCGUAAUGACCCGAGUGAGUGCGAAAUGUCAUUUUGGGAACUUCUAAUUCUUUGACUCUGAUUUGGUGAUAACCCAAUUUUAAAUCCAAUUUGGAGAAAUAUCUGGCACCAUUAACUCAUCUAGCAGCUCAGAUAUUACCAGGAUCGGAUAUUUGUAUGGCACAAUCACCUUGUUUAAGGCCCUAUAAUCAACACAAAACCUCCAGCUCCCAUCCUUCUUCCUCACCAACAAUACUGGGCUCGAAAAGGGGCUGCAGCUCGGUCGAAUGAUUCCUGCUGCUAACAUUUCUGUUACCAGCUUCUCUAUUCCAUCUUUCUGGAAAUGGUCAUAAUGAUACAAUCGAACAUUAACUGCAGUAGUGCCACCUAUUAAAGAAAUUUCAUGAUAAGUUACCCUGCUUGGAGGAAGGCUGGUCGACUCACAAAAUAACUCCUUGAAGGGAUUUAAUAUUUGGUUCAGUUCAUGUUGCUGAGAUUGAGUAAUUUUUGCCUCUAUUGACCAAGAAGACUGAUUCCCAUCCAUCUCCCACAACAGCAUUAAGAAGUCCACAUCUUUAAGUUUCUGUAACUGAGCAACAUAAACUAACACCUUAGUAAGGGCAGGAUUCCCUGUCAGCGUGAUUAACUGUCCUUAAUAUUAAAAUUUCAUGUGUUUGGUUGCCUAAUUAAUUUGCAUACUCCCCAGAGUUUUCAACCAAGCCAUACCCGAAAUUAAAUCAACACUGCCAAGAGGAAAAACAAAGAAAUAUGCUGACAUUUCAAUUUGACCAAGAUCCAUGUGAAUAUUGCAACACAAUCUUGAGAAUUCAACUCGAUGCCCAUCACCCAAUUUCACUCUAAAUGCGAGAGUGAUUUCUACGACAAUUUGUAGUUGAGAUACCAAUUUAUCUAAAAUAAAGUUGUGGGUAGUGCCACUGUCGAUCAUGACGGUUAGUAUUUGCUGCUAUACCCAAGCCCUUAAUUUCAUCAUCUUUGGUGAAGAAAUAUGCUGACAUUUCAAUUUGACCAAGAUCCAUGUGAAUAUUGUAACACAAUCUUGAGGAUUCAACUCGAUGCCCAUCACCCAAUUUCACUCUAAAUGCGAGAAUGAUUUCUACGACAAUUUGUAGCUGAGAUACCAAUUUAUCUAAAAUAAAGUUGUGGGUAGUGCCACUGUCGAUCAUGACGGUUAGUAUUUGCUACUAUACCCAAGCCCUUAAUUUCAUCGUCUUUAGUGAAGAAAUACCCCCAAAAGAAUAAACCGACAGCUCAAUAUUAGAAAAAUGAGCUUCAUUGGUUAUGGUUACCUUAGGGACUUCGACUGCCACUUUCGCAAAUUCUACUUUUGCAUUAAUUGAAAUUUUUUCAUCGUCACAAAAAAUAAUGGCACGAAGUGACUUGCUCGGGCAUUCAUGCAUUGGGUGAAAGGGUUGCUUACACUUCUAAUAGAGACCUUUUGCCCUUAAAUCAAGAAAUUCUUGAUGGGUGUAGUGUCUUGACCCCCUAUUAUGCACUCGAGUAUUGGGAGGUCGUGUAGAGGAAGUAGCAGUGAAGGUGUUCUUAGUAGGGGUGAAAGCAGCUUUGUCGGUCGAUUUGGGAGGAGAAGGUUCAAUGUAUUUAGACUUAUAGGGCUGAGAUAUAACAUUGGGUAAUAAGGGUCAACUCUUCAAGGGUUUUGAGCUAUCAUAUUUUGGUCUAGGCCUAGGUCUCGAUGUCCAUCUCUAUGCACCAUCUACGGCCGAUUUGACCACCGUGGAGGAUGGAGAAAGAAAUUGAUUCUCGAGUUCCACUUCUUGAGCAGUCUCCAUAGUUUGGGCAAAAUCAACAGCUUCAUGGGAGCGAAUUCAUACUCAGAUAUCAUCCAUAAUCCGCUAAGAAAAUAACCUGGGGGUUAUUGAUCGGUGAUCCCUUCCACCUGAGACACCAAAGUAACAAAUUCAUCAAUAAAGUUAUCCACCAUAGAUUGCUGUAGUAAAGUGGCCAUCUCUCAAACACAUUUGUGUGCAUAUCUCCUCCAUAAUGAUGAAUAAGCUCUUGAGUAAGUUGAUUCUAAGAAAGGGUUGGAAUUCUUUGCUUAAUCUAGUGGACCCAAUGCAGAGUUGGUCCUUCCAUGCAUACUAACGCCAAUUGGACCUUUGUAUCUUCACGUGUAUUGUUGAUAACAAAGUACUACUCUGCUCCCGCCAACUAGGCAAUGAUAUCCGUGCCAUCCAAAUUUGGUAAUUUGACCUGUUUAAUAGCCAUAGAUGGGUAGUUAUAAAUUCUAGAAUUUAAAACAUGAACUUGAGCCAACACAAUUAAUUAAUUGAAAUUUAUAAUACAUAAACUAAAAAUUAUAUUUUUGUCCCUUUCUGGUAGUAUGCUUCCAAACAUGACACUUUACAUCCUUGAAUUUUGAGGCAAUUCUAUUUAUUUAACUUAGGGGCCUAUAAGCUCACACAAAAACUUCUAAAAUUAAUUAGUAGCACACCCAAUUGUUUAUUAGCAUCAAAAUAAAAAUUAGAACACUUAGGUCCAACAACUUUAAUAUGGUGUCUUUCUAGAUUCUCUAGGAGAUACUAUUAUUAUUUUGACAUUUAAGAAGGAUAAUUACCCAACUAGCUUAAAGGAUAUAUGGACUUUUUCUCUUUAUAAUGUGCUUCAUAAUAUUGUUGUAUAGGUCCUAGCUAACAGAAUAAAGAUGUUGCUUCCAUCUCUGAUAUCCCAAGCACAAUAAACAUUUGCUUAAGGAUAGAUGAUUAUUGAUAUUGUGACUAUUGUAUUUGAGACUAUUCGCCAUAUAAAAUGAAAAACUACAAGCAAAAAAUAUAAGGUUGCUUGAGAUUAAUAAGGCUUAUGACUGAGUAGACUAGGAGUAUCCGAGGCUUUGUAUAUUGAAUUUUGGUUUUAGUGAAAAUGGUUUGACAUGAUAAUAUUAUUUGCAACUUCCAUUCAGCUUUAUGCUGCUUUGAAUGGUGCAAAAUUUGGGCCUUCUUACCCUUAUAGGGGAUUAAGACGUGGGAUUCUCUAUCACCUUUAUAUGUUUAUUCUUUAUCUAGAAGAGUUAUCCACUCUUUUUCAUAGGGCUGAAUCCGUGGAGAUAGUCACAUAUCCUAAAUUUUUAGACAUGCUCCUAGCAUUUCUUACUUGCUUUUUGCUGACAAUAGUUUCUUCUUUUUUAGAGGAGAUCAUGCAAAAUGCACAAUGAUUAAAAGUAUCCUAAGUACUAUGUUCAAGGGAGAUUGUUAAUUUUCAAAAGUUUGGGAUUCUUUUUCAGUGCUAAUAUUAGUAAGGCGGAAGAAAUUGAUGUUUGUAGUAUUUUAGGCAUCUAACUGUUUGAAUCAUGGGGGUAUUAAUGGUUGCCCUCCCUUAUAGGUAGGAGUAAGAAACAAGCCUUUGCGUAUCUAAAGGAGAAGCUCUGGAAGUGUGUAUAUGGGUAGCUGAUCAAUCAUAAUUUAGCCACAUUUUUAUUAUCUUUUUUAUUGUUUAUUUACACAUUUUUUAGUUUAAUUUAUGGUUUCUAUCUUGUUUUUACAGAAAAGGAAAGAAUUGGAAAAUUGGAGAAAAAGUGCAGAAAAUUGACAGAAAAGUGAUUGGGUCAGUGAUUUGUCCAGUGAUCUGCCCAGUUCAAGCUGAAGCAGAAACCUGGAGGCAACAGGCAGAAGUGAUAUGGGCAGGGAUUUGCCCAGGACACUCGAGGAUACUGGCCAAAUCACUCGCAGAAGACAGAGAGAACUGACUGGCAGAAACGUGAUCAGGUCUGUGAUUUGCCCAAUCCCUUGAAGAAACUGGUCAAAUCGCCGGGCAAAUCACUUCGACAGCAGAAAAUACAGCAGAGCGGGAAAUUGUUCAGGAAACCGAAUUUCAAGUUUUCAGAAGUCCAAAUCCAACUCAAUCACUACCAAAAUAAUUCCAAGAGCCACGAAAGAGUUUCUCACCUAAGGAAUUCCAGUUGCAAUUAAAUUCAACAUCAAAAGAGGAGUCACAAGCCAAAUUAAAAAGGGAUUUCAAAACCCUAGAAGGAUGGAACUCUUCAACUAUAAAAGGGCAACCUCCAAACCAGCAAAGACAUCCUCUGAUCAGCAACUCAACUCGCCAGAAACUCUCCAGCAUCUUCCUUUUUCUUUUCCUUUCAUCUUUUUGUGUAUUUAGUCCACCAUGAGUGGCUAAACUCUUUUCUUUCUAGUUGAAGUUGGUGAAUUUCAGAUUUUGUUAUGAAUUGGGAGAUUUAAAUCUCCAUUGUUAAACUUCUAUUUAUUCUCAAUAUUUAUGCAAUUUGAGCUUUCCAUAAUUAUUACUUUGCUUUUAUAAUCAAUAAGGGCCCAUUGCUUUUAAAUUGCUUAAAGUAAUAUUGUUUGAAUGAUUUAGGUCCGUAAUUGCUUAGGUUGUUCAAAUACACAUUUAAUCAAAUUGCAUAAUCUAAACUUGACCACACGGUUGGCAAGGAUAGAAUUGGGUUUCUCUAAGUCUUAAUGCAGUCAACAGUUGUUCGAUGCUACAAUGCCCCAAGGACGUUCCUUGGCAACUUGUUGAUUAGUG
rnacentral:lncRNA from 1 species